rnacentral:rRNA from 1 species
AGUUUGAUCAUGGCUCAGGACGAACGCUGGCGGCGUGCCUAAUACAUGCAAGUCGAGCGAGCAGAACCAGCAGAUUUACUUCGGUAAUGACGCUGGGGACGCGAGCGGCGGAUGGGUGAGUAACACGUGGGGAACCUGCCCCAUAGUCUGGGAUACCACUUGGAAACAGGUGCUAAUACCGGAUAAGAAAGCAGAUCGCAUGAUCAGCUUAUAAAAGGCGGCGUAAGCUGUCGCUAUGGGAUGGCCCCGCGGUGCAUUAGCUAGUUGGUAAGGUAACGGCUUACCAAGGCGAUGAUGCAUAGCCGAGUUGAGAGACUGAUCGGCCACAUUGGGACUGAGACACGGCCCAAACUCCUACGGGAGGCAGCAGUAGGGAAUCUUCCACAAUGGACGCAAGUCUGAUGGAGCAACGCCGCGUGAGUGAAGAAGGUUUUCGGAUCGUAAAGCUCUGUUGUUGGUGAAGAAGGAUAGAGGUAGUAACUGGCCUUUAUUUGACGGUAAUCAACCAGAAAGUCACGGCUAACUACGUGCCAGCAGCCGCGGUAAUACGUAGGUGGCAAGCGUUGUCCGGAUUUAUUGGGCGUAAAGCGAGCGCAGGCGGAAAAAUAAGUCUGAUGUGAAAGCCCUCGGCUUAACCGAGGAACUGCAUCGGAAACUGUUUUUCUUGAGUGCAGGAGAGGAGAGUGGAACUCCAUGUGUAGCGGUGGAAUGCGUAGAUAUAUGGAAGAACACCAGUGGCGAAGGCGGCUCUCUGGUCUGCAACUGACGCUGAGGCUCGAAAGCAUGGGUAGCGAACAGGAUUAGAUACCCUGGUAGUCC